GUCUACGGCCAUACCACCCUGAACACGCCCGAUCUCGUCUGAUCUCGGAAGCUAAGCAGGGUCAGGCCUGGUUAGUACUUGGAUGGGAAACUGAAAGGUUAGAGGGGCCGGCGUCAUGGUUC
rnacentral:rRNA from 1 species